rnacentral:lncRNA from 1 species
UUGCAAAGAAAACUGAAAAAACAAAAGGGAGGUUUCCCCUUUUAUGCUUGGGUUCCAGGCCCAGCCGCCGUCGUCCCUCCUCACCGCUUGGUGGCCGGAGCCAUGCGAGGGCAUCUCCCACCAGCGCUUUGGAGCGCGUUCAGAGGCCAAGGCUCCAAAACCGGGAAAAGAGGGGAAAAUGGAACGCCUCUACCCCUUUCUAAACUCGCGUCCGACGACGGCGAAGGGCCGACGACGACGACGGCUUCAGGGGCUGAUUCAGGUAUUUCUUUCCUCUUUUUCCUUAUCUUUACUUAGUGUUUUAAGAUAGAUUAAUAAAGAAAAAAGAUAAUAAUAAAAAGACUAUAUAAAAAAACGAAAGAACAGUUCUAAAAAAAACAACCUUUAGAAUUUCAAUUUCUGACUUUCGAUUUUCUAAUGUGCGUUCGUAAAAAAGGAAGAAGAUUACAAUGGCUGUGUUCGGCUUAUAUAGCCAAAUCUUUAAAACUGCUGAACUUCUAUUUUUUGUUGUUUCAGUUGUCUUCUAGUGCUUGUGUGUUGUUUGCUAUAUGUUGCAGGUGAUAGGGGUGUCAGACGCGUGGUGGUAGCAUGCGCGAUGGAGGCCGGUGGCGUGCGCGAGUGGCGAUUGGUAGCAGAGGCAACGUGCACGAGGCUGGCGGCUAGGGGUCAGACCUAGGUGCGGCGCACCUAGGGUUUCCCUUGGCUGAAAAGUUUCUUAGUUUUGGGCUAGGGCUAAUUUGGGCUUGCUGGGUUAAUUUUUAGGUAGUGGGUCAAGAAUUGGGUUGGUCAGAUUUGGGCUACUGUUGUUUUAUUUAUUUUGUUUUAUUUUGGCACUGGGCCCGGGCAAAAAUUGGGCUCUACAGCUGCCCCUCUUUGCUCAUUGUCG